rnacentral:rRNA from 1 species
UACGUAGGGAGCGAGCGUUAUCCGGAUUUAUUGGGUGUAAAGGGUGCGUAGACGGGAAAACAAGUUAGUUGUGAAAUCCCUCGGCUUAACUGAGGAACUGCAACUAAAACUAUUUUUCUUGAGUGCAGGAGAGAUAAGUGGAAUUCCUAGUGUAGCGGUGAAAUGCGUAGAUAUCAGGAGGAACACCGGCGGCGAAGGCGGCUUACUGGACUGUAACUGACGUUGAGGCUCGAAGGCGUGGGGAGCAAACAGG